rnacentral:rRNA from 1 species
UCGUCUAUAUAAUAUUUCGUGCGAUUCGCCUUAGAGUUUGAUCCUGGCUCAGAUUGAACGCUGGCGGCAUGCCUUACACAUGCAAGUCGAACGCGAAAGUGGGGGCAACCCUGCGAGUAGAGUGGCGAACGGGUGAGUAAUACAUCGGAACGUACCCAGGAGUGGGGGACAACCUCGAGAAAUCGAGGCUAAUACCGCAUACGUCCUGAGGGAGAAAGCGGGGGAUUCGCAAGGACCUCGCGCUCAUGGAGCGGCCGAUGUCGGAUUAGCUAGUUGGCGGGGUAAGAGCCCACCAAGGCGACGAUCCGUAGCUGGUUUGAGAGAACGACCAGCCACACUGGGACUGAGACACGGCCCAGACUCCUACGGGAGGCAGCAGUGGGGAAUUUUGGACAAUGGGGGCAACCCUGAUCCAGCCAUGCCGCGUGAGUGAAGAAGGCCUUCGGGUUGUAAAGCUCUUUCUGCCGGAACGAAAUCGCGCACGUGAAUAACGUGCGUGGAUGACGGUACUGGAAGAAGAAGCACCGGCUAACUACGUGCCAGCAGCCGCGGUAAUACGUAGGGUGCGAGCGUUAAUCGGAAUUACUGGGCGUAAAGCGUGCGGAGGCGGUUCUGCAAGUCAGAUGUGAAAUCCCCGGGCUUAACCUGGGAACUGCGUUUGAAACUACGGAGCUAGAGUGCCGCAGACGGGGGUGGAAUUCCACGUGUAGCAGUGAAAUGCGUAGAUAUGUGGAGGACACCGAUGGCGAUGCAGCCCCCUGGGCCGACACUGACACUCAGGACUAAAGCUGCGGAGCAAACACGAUAGAUACCCUGUAGUCCACGCCCUAAACUAUGUCACCAGUCGUCUGGGAGCAUACCUCGUACGUAGCUAACGCGUGCAGUGACCGCCUGGGGGUACGUCCAGAUGAACUCAACGAUGACCGGGCCCGCACAGCGGUGGAGACAUGUUGUUUAUCGACGCUACCGC